AGAGUUUGAUCCUGGCUCAGGACGAACGCUGGCGGCGUGCCUAACACAUGCAAGUCGAACGGAACUGUUUUGAAAGAUUUCUUCGGAAUGAAUUUGAUUUAGUUUAGUGGCGGACGGGUGAGUAACGCGUGAGUAACCUGCCUUCAAGAGGGGGAUAACAUUCUGAAAAGAAUGCUAAUACCGCAUGACAUAUCGGAAUCACAUGAUUUUGAUAUCAAAGAUUUUAUCGCUUGAAGAUGGACUCGCGUCCGAUUAGUUAGUUGGUGAGGUAACGGCUCACCAAGACCGCGAUCAGUAGCCGGUCUGAGAGGAUGAACGGCCACAUUGGAACUGAGACACGGUCCAAACUCCUACGGGAGGCAGCAGUGGGGAAUAUUGCACAAUGGGGGAAACCCUGAUGCAGCAACGCCGCGUGAGUGAAGAAGUAUCUCGGUAUGUAAAGCUCUAUCAGCAGGGAAGAAAAUGACGGUACCUGACUAAGAAGCCCCGGCUAACUACGUGCCAGCAGCCGCGGUAAUACGUAGGGGGCAAGCGUUGUCCGGAUUUACUGGGUGUAAAGGGUGCGUAGGCGGAUUGGCAAGUCAGAAGUGAAAUCCAUGGGCUUAACCCAUGAACUGCUUUUGAAACUGUUAGUCUUGAGUAAAGUAGAGGUAGGCGGAAUUCCCGGUGUAGCGGUGAAAUGCGUAGAGAUCGGGAGGAACACCAGUGGCGAAGGCGGCCUACUGGGCUUUAACUGACGCUGAGGCACGAAAGUGUGGGUAGCAAACAGGAUUAGAUACCCUGGUAGU
rnacentral:rRNA from 1 species